rnacentral:tRNA from 1 species
GGGCCCGUAGUGUAGUUUGGAUAUCACUGGGGCCUCCGGAGCCCCGAACCUGGGUUCGAAAGGAUGACCAAAUCAUCCCGAAAUUCCCAGCGGGCCCG